rnacentral:rRNA from 1 species
UCCGUAGGUGAACCUGUAAGUUAUCGCCAUUCACAAGUAUGAUAUCGAAUCAUUGCUAACUUUAUUCAGGCGGAGGGAUCAUUA